GGAUAGUUGGCAGAGUCUGGCUUAUUGCAUCGGUCUUGAAAACCGAAGAGCGGAAACGCUCCGUGGGUUCAAAUCCUACACUAUCCUCCA
rnacentral:tRNA from 1 species